GCGGGCGUAAUUCAGUGGUAGAAUGCCACCUUCCCAAGGUGGACGUCGAGGGUUCAAGUCCCUUCGCCCGCUCCA
rnacentral:tRNA from 2 species